UACGUAGGGUGCAGGCGUUAAUCGGAAUUACUGGGCGUAAAGCGCACGUAGGCGGCUUUUUAAGUCAGGGGUGAAAUCCCGGGGCUCAACCCCGGAACUGCCCUUGAAACUGGAGAGCUAGAAUCUUGGAGAGGCGAGUGGAAUUCCGAGUGUAGAGGUGAAAUUCGUAGAUAUUCGGAAGAACACCAGUGGCGAAGGCGACUCGCUGGACAAGUAUUGACGCUGAGGUGCGAAAGCGUGGGGAGCAAACAGG
rnacentral:rRNA from 1 species